AUAUAUACAUCAUGGUGGGCUCCAGAGGCCCUGACACCAACGUCAGUCUUUAGCCAGGUCCUCGAGGGGCAGUACCCAAUCCACGUUCCAAAACAAACCAACGGGAUCCUGUUUGCCUGAUUGACACGCUUGACUCGUCUCCACGUGCGAGGCAGGAGCCGGGGCAAUUAAGCCUCCCUCUCCUUUCCCUCCUUUCCCAAUCACGAUCAUCAGUGCCUUCCCUGCGAGCAGACGUUGGGCGAAAGGAAAGAAGCAGCUGAGGAAGGAAGAAAUGGCUGGGUUUGCAAGAUCGAGGAUUUUCAUCGGAAGCAUAUUUCCGAAAGGAGAGCCUCUCGUUUCGAAGCUCUCCACCUUCUCUCAAUACAUAGUAUUCCCAGGCGCUAUGUUCGCCGCCCUUUACUACUGCCCCGAAGACCAUCCCAACAAGAAGAAGAUUUCCUCUUCCUCUGCCUGACUUCUUCCUCCAUCCUUCUCAUCCUUUCCAGAAAUCUUCAUCGCUUGCAUAGAACACCCAUCUAGAGCACAUGGAUUCGAUGAGCAGCUUGUUGGUUUGCAAUAAACUUAGCUUUUACUCUUACAUGGAAGUUGUUUUUGUUGAUCUAUCCCAUGAUCUGUAUGGACUUGGUACCUGUGGCCUUAUGUUCUCAAAAUGAAUAAUAUUGGAGUUUUUAGUUGUGCUUGAAGCAAACAGCA